rnacentral:rRNA from 2 species
UACGUAGGGGGCUAGCGUUGUCCGGAAUCACUGGGCGUAAAGGGUUCGCAGGCGGAAAUGCAAGUCAGGUGUAAAAGGCAGUAGCUUAACUACUGUAAGCAUUUGAAACUGCAUAUCUUGAGAAGAGUAGAGGUAAGUGGAAUUUUUAGUGUAGCGGUGAAAUGCGUAGAUAUUAAAAAGAAUACCGGUGGCGAAGGCGACUUACUGGGCUCAUUCUGACGCUGAGGAACGAAAGCGUGGGUAGCAAACAGG